AUAUAAAUAAACCACAGAAAAUCAUCAAUACAGUUAAACAUUUUAAACAUAACAAAACAAUGCAUAUUAACUUGUUGAGUCAGAUGUUGGGUAGUUGCUGUUGGUCUCGAUUAUUUCUUAUAUACUUCUGAAUAUCCAAUUGCCUGGUAGGAGAGUCUCCUUGAGCUCAAAAUUAAAAUUGCUCUAAAUUUUAAAGAUUCCAAAAUCUUUUAUCUUUGGUUUAAAUCUUUCAAAGUUGAUUACCAUAAUUAAGUUGAUUUUGUCUGUCUGUUUACUUGUUUGUUUUAGUUUUGUUCUUGCCCUUGGUCUCAUAAAUGGUCAGACUCUGGCAAGGGAAGAAGUUAAAGGAGGCUCAUGAGAGCCUGUCCUCUAUUAUAGACAGUAUUUUACACAGUAUUCCAAGCUUCUAGUGCAUUAUUAGUCAUGAGUGGACAUCAGCUUGACAUCUGAAACAACAGCAAUCUGUGUCUUGGGCCUUCUCUGAUGCCAUCUGUGUAAAGACCUGUGCUUGGAUUGCACUACAGGCAUGCACAGCACCUCUCUAACUAGUCAGCUGCAGAGCACAGCCCCAGGCAUGGCAUGGAGCCCUGGGGGCUACAGAAAAACACUAGUUAGUAUGCUUCAUGUGGAACUUACACAUUUUCUUGCUAGGAUUCCCACUACAACUAAAAACUGGUAAUGAUCCUGCUUAUUCUAGCAAAUGCUUUAGAGAAUUUUGCAGUUUAUGGAAUAUUAAUCAUGUUACUAAUAUCCCUUACAAUCCACAGGAUUAAGCAAUUGUGGAACAGCACCAUCAAAUGCUUAAAUGGCAAAUUUUAAAAAUAAAAAGGGUGUAUACACUCACCUAAAUCCCCACAUACUAUGCUACAUUUAUCUAUGCUGAAUUUAAAUUUUUUUCACUUUAAAGGGAUGUUUCUUCUUCUGAUGCCCCAAAGCAUUUUUCCCUAACGGAGACACAACCUAAAAUAUAUGCUAAAUGAAAAGAUUUAGAAACUAACCAAUGGAAAGGGCCCAAUAUUCUAACAUUGAGGCUAGGUUAUGCUUGUGCAGUGGUUUGAAUAGGUAUGGCCCCCAUGGACUCAUGUAUCUGAAUUCUUGGCCAUAGGAAGUGGCACUAUUAAGAGGUGUGGCCUUGUUGGAAUAGGUGUGGCCUUGUUGGAGGAAAUGUGUCACUGUGGAAGGGGGUUUGAGGUCUGAUAUAUACUCAAGUCAUGCCCAGUAAGACAGAGACUCCUUCUGCUGCCUGUGGAUCAAGAUGUAGCGCUCUCAGCUACUUCUCCAGCACCAUGUCUGCCUGCACACUGCCAUAUCCCGCCAUGAUGAUAAUGGACUAAACUUGAAAUUUUAAGCCACUCAAUUAAAUGUUUUUCUUUAUAAGAAUUGUCAUGAUCAUAGUGUUUCUUCACAACAAUAGAAACUCUAACUAACACAGCUUUUGUCUUUCCGGAACAUGAAUAAAGUCCCAUAUGGCUCCCACUCUGAUGCAUCCAACAAGGACAGCAUCCCUGAGACCACCAGACAAAUGGAACAUCUGGAGGCAGACAACAAAUCCAUCAAGAGGAGACAGUCCAAAAGGAAGAUGGUCUUAGGUAACCCCCGUGAAAGGUCAUUCAACCCCUAGAGGGGUCAUGAUCCAGAGGUUAAGAAAUGCUGUACUGGAGGCUGAGAAGAGCUUUGGGAAGAAGUUUUGGGAAAGCAUGAAGAUCAAAUGGAGGACCUGGGAAGACAAGCUUCCUUGAGACUACGUGGAAGGAAAAUGCUUAGUCUUUAGUUGCUAAGGGCGAAGACUCUGACCAGCCAAACUGCAGAAGGAGAGGGACAUUGGGAGGAUCAAGCUACCUGCGAGCUGUGGUAGAAAGCUCCAGAGAUGCAGGCUUUCAGGAGUUGUCACCCAGCUUGGAGUGGGCUUUCUGGUGAUGUGGCUACUUUUGAGUGAUUCCCGCUCUUUGUAAGUAACCCCUCAAACACCACACAAAUGGAGGCUGUAUUACAUACACAUGUAUGAUUACACUGAAUGUCAUUAUAUGUAGAAUACAUGUUCAUAAAAAUACUUUUUGAAUGAGAACUUUCCCCAAAACAACUUGUGAUUCCACAAUUGUGAGGCAUUUGCUAUGUCCUUAAAUAAAAUUUGCAUAUUCUCUUA